rnacentral:rRNA from 1 species
CGGCGUGCUUAACACAUGCAAGUCGAACGAGGUAGUAAGUACGGGAAGUUUUCGGACGGAAGACCUUGUACUGAGUGGCGGACGGGUGAGUAACGCGUGGGAAACCUGCCCUGUUCCGGGGGAUACCAGUUGGAAACGACUGUUAAUACCGCAUAAGCGCACAGUACCGCAUGGUGCAGUGUGAAAAACUCCGGUGGAACAGGAUGGUCCCGCGUCUGAUUAGGCAGUUGGCAGGGUAACGGCCUACCAAACCGACGAUCAGUAGCCGGCCUGAGAGGGUGAACGGCCACAUUGGGACUGAGACACGGCCCAAACUCCUACGGGAGGCAGCAGUGGGGAAUAUUGCACAAUGGGGGAAACCCUGAUGCAGCGACGCCGCGUGAGUGAAGAAGUAUUUCGGUAUGUAAAGCUCUAUCAGCAGGGAAGAAGAUGACGGUACCUGCAGAAGCAGCCCCGGCUAACCUACGUGCC